CAAAUAUGCUGUUAAAAGUUUUAUGUAACUUUUCGCGGCACGUCCUCUACAGCACGCUGUUAAUAAUCUUAAAAGUUUUGGGAUUUAAUCGUGUCCGACGCCGUAUCUCAUCACGAUCCCGCACCUUUAUUUUUCUUGUUAACCUAAGCUUUCCCUUCCCGCAACGUCGCCUUUCCUCUCCGCAGCACAACAUGAUUUCUUCCAUCGCCGACAAAGAGGCCGCCGACAAAGAGGCAGGCGACAAGGUUGAGGGUCGGCUGCUCGAGAGGUGGCCAGUGAGGCAACGAGCGGUUGUUGCCUGCCUCCUUGUCGACGGCCUCCUCCCAUCGUAGCACGAUCUUCACCAGUCACCUACGCGAUGCAGCCGUUGCCUAGACUCGCUUGUAGGCGGUUCGCAAACGGCUACUUGAACGGUGAUGUAACCCUUUCUUCCUCUCGUUGCGGCAAUCCACUCAGGGAUUAGCUAACUAGAAUGCUAACUAGAAUGCUACCUGCAACCUAGCUUCCUCCGCCACUCAGGGAUUAGCACCGUCAAUUACAUGUUGAAUACAAUCACUUAAUCAGUUACUCAGCGAAACUGAGUUACGGGCGCGAAUCUUUGAUGGCUUCAGAAGUUUGUUCAUGGGUUCACCUAACAUGAACACAUUAGUUGGUUUAGGUGCUUUAUCAUCCUUUGCAGUCAGUUCAAUUGCUGCCUUAAUUCCAAAACUGGUAUUUACAAUCUUAUACGGGAAGAUGCUUUAAUUUAUUACGUUUGUUGCUAUACAUGCAUCUGCUUGUUGACCAUGCUCCUUAUCAACAUGUUUUAAUGGUUAUAAAAAAUGUUGUUUGAUUAUGUCAUAGCAACAAAAGAGGCGGGGAGGAAUGGGGAUGCACAAAUUAAACAAAGGACGGCGAUGUGAGACACAACAAAUUGUAAGGGUAGGGGUGCAGGGAGUGGUAGACUUGUUGAUGCCCAGAAAAUGAGGCUUCAAUAUCAAACCAGUGACUACACUUUGUACGCAUAUAACUCCAAAUUAACCUAACUAUAUUAGUGACUAUCAAUAUCUGAUUAUCAUUUUAGUGACAAAUUAAUAACAAAAUGAUAAUAUCAAUUUAGAUUGGUCUGAAGAAAUUGAAAAAUUAUAUUUGUUUUUUUAUUAGUAAAACUGUAGGACUUUGCUAGUGUGUUGAUGGUAACAGUAUGCCAAACGAAGUGUUCCAUACUAUGUCAAAACAUGGAUAUAUCAUAGUAUUUUGCUUAGGAGCAAGCAAGGCAGCUGCUUGUUUUAUGUUGCUGUGGUGAAAAAAAUUCUUCUUAAUGCUAGUUUGAUUAGAAUGCAUGAUGACAGAAGUACAUAUUAUGAUGCAUAACAAGGCUAUAAUACUACUUGGCAUUUCCAGUGAGCAUUGAUAUUGUACUUUUUUGAAUAUUUGAAUAUUGUACUUUUAAAUGUCGGAGAAUAUUUAAAAGGUAGCCAUUCCUUUCCUUUCGCCCGUAAGUGAUUGUAUUCAACAUGUAAAUAUGUUGGAGAAUAUUUUGUAUUCUUACUUAUAUUUUGAAUUUUGAUACUUGCUAAUAUAUCUAGAUUCACUAACAUAUACACUUUCACUUAUAUUUGCAAAUUAUAUUUGAAUGAUGUUUGAGGAAUGACUUUUUAGUCGAUAAUGCAUUGGUCUUAGAAUGCAUUGAUAUGGUAUUUAUCCAAGACAUAUUAUCUAUUGUUUGCUCUGUUCUGUCCAAAUAAACUUUCAAUUUCUUCAAAAUACAGUCAGAUUAAUUUUUAGAAUUCAUUGGUUAUUCUUUUGAGAUUUUUUCUCUCCUCAUUUUGAUGGCUAAUAUAUGACUCUAAGCUUACCAAUUCUUCCAUAAAGCCUUUCAUUCCAUUCAAAGGGAUGGCAAACAUCAUCCACAAGUGAUGUGGAAUGUGAAUGAGAAGAAUUUUAUGCUUCACUUGGCUUCAUCCUGAUUUGUGCUACUCAUUGUUAUAGAUUUAGUGAAAACACUGUUUACAAGUAAAUUGCUUGGAUUGUUAUUGUAAGUACGUUACAUCAGUUGCAUUGGAAUACCCUUACUAUCUGUAUGCAAGCAUGAUUCAAGGUGUACACAUUGCUAAAAUCACUUGAGCAUCCAAAGGGAUGAAAAUGACUUGUAUUUUAAUGCAUGAAACAGGUGUCUUGGUGGGUUAUAACGUAAUACAUGAAAUAGAUUUCUUGGUGCGUCGAUUGCUUGAAUUUGUGAGACGGGAUUCAGAUGACAUUCCAAUCCAGGUAGUGAAGUUUCACUUACUCUUUUCAUUUAUCCCACAUAAUUGGUUUAGCACAUUGAAAUUUUCAAACAUGCUUGGUUGUAGCACUGCAUUGUGCUUCACACACCUGAUAUAAUGUGGCUCUAUAAUAUGUUUCUGUUGUGCUCAACCACAAGCAGUUGAAGUUGUUGUUGCUACAAAAUUGACUUAAAGAAUUAUUAGAAAUUAAAAAAAAUAGUAAGCAUGCAAUAUUUAUUUCUGUUCUGUAUACCUUGAAAUGAGUACCUAUGCAGGAGAAUUAGGAUCAUUUUGAAGCUACUAUCUCAUCUUCUAAAGGAAAGGGAUUUGCUACAAAAGAACAUUUUGAAGCAUUUACUAGAGCUAGCUUGUUGCUCUUCAACAACAUAUUCUCUCUUCUUAUUGAGGAACUGAUUAAUUUGGUAAGCAAUUCAUUUAAUAAUCCACACAUUCUCUAAGUUCCAAACCAUAAUAAAUCAGUUUAGAAUUAACAAUUUUCGCCUUCUUUUUCUUGGGUCUCCGAGUUGAUUUUGGAAACAUGCUUUGCACUCAGCAUGCUCUCUAGCCGAGGAAUCUUUGCCUACUCCGACAACUAGUCAAUCACCAUGCUCUCGGCCUUUUACGAUUUAAUGUUGUAAUUCCCUUGCAUAAGUUGAUUUCAAUUGUGUCCUCUACAAACAAAAUAAAUUCUGUCGAAAAGUAUAUUCAGGUCGAUAAUCAUGAAUUCUGGUUCAUGGGGUUUCUGAACUAUGACACGGUUGUGCGCCGUCAGCACGAAGCUUUGCGCCAUAUGCAAAAGGAAGCAUCGCCGCGACGGUAGAUCUAGAUGUUCCAACUAUGUAACUUUUGUACUGAGCAAUAGACUUAGGGUCUUUCUUUGGUUCAUGUUAAUAUUUAUAUUGUUGUUUAGAGAAAUUGAUGAGCUUUGUAAAAUGAUUAUUAGAUGAAUAAAAAUUAUGUAUUCAUAUUUUGAUUUUA